CAGGGGCCCCGCUGCCUGAUGUGGGAAAUGGGGUUGUUCAGCCCAGCCUUACUACGGGCCUGGGAGGGGCAGUUGUGGCAGCCCCAACCAGCAUUGGUGUCGGACCAGCUCUGCCCAGUGGUGGUGAGUGUCAAUUUAAGCGUAACCUGAAC